UUCUGACUGGCUGUGCAGCAGGACUGGAUGUGAUGAUGGAUCACUCUUUUCUCUGUGUGCUGGGGUUAUUCUGAAUUUGUCAGAAGUGUGAGGAUUAGUUGAGAGGAUGGGACUCAUUUUAUUCUGUGUGCUGGAUUUAUUCUGGCUGUAUACACUCCUCUGCACUGGACACACUCAAGGAGCUGUUCUGACCAUUGAUCCUAACUGGUCGACUUUUUAUACUGGAGAGUCUGUUACCUUCAUAUGUGACAUGAAGGAAGGAACAAACA